CGGCGGACACGGAACGGAUCGGCUCCGGAACGAGCGACGUCGCGACUCAUUUAAUUGAACGCGGCGGACACGGAACGGAUCGGCUCCGGAACGAGUGGCGUCGCGAAUCAUUUAAUUGAACGCGACGAAUACGAGACGGAUCGGGUCCGAAACGAGUGGCAUCGCAACUUAUUUAAUUGGUAAGU